rnacentral:RNase_P_RNA from 1 species
GAAGUUGGCCGGAUCGUCGCGAGGGUGCUUGCCACCUUCGAGGAAAGUCCGGGCUCCACAGGGCGGGAUGCCAGGUAACGCCUGGGCGGCGCGAGCCGACGGAAAGUGCAACAGAGAACAGACCGCCGAACGGUGUCGCAAGACAUGCGUGGUAAGGGUGAAACGGUGCGGUAAGAGCGCACCGCGGACCUGGCAACAGGGACGGCACGGCAAACCCCAUCCGGAGCAAGACCAAAUAGGAAGGCGUUGGCGCGGCCCGCGUUGCCUUCGGGUAGGUUGCUUGAGCCCUGCGGCGACGCAGGGCCUAGAGGAAUGACGGUCCUCGACAGAACCCGGCUUACAGGCCGACUUCGCCC